rnacentral:rRNA from 1 species
CGAGCGGCGAACGGGUGAGUAACACGUGAGUAAUCUGCCUCUGGCUUCGGGAUAGCCACCGGAAACGGUGAUUAAUACCGGAUACGACACAUCACUGCAUGGUGCGUGUGUGGAAAGUUUUCGGCCAGGGAUGUGCUCGCGGCCUAUCAGCUUGUUGGUGGGGUAAUGGCCUACCAAGGCUUCGACGGGUAGCCGGCCUGAGAGGGUGACCGGCCACACUGGGACUGAGACACGGCCCAGACUCCUACGGGAGGCAGCAGUGGGGAAUAUUGGACAAUGGGCGGAAGCCUGAUCCAGCAACGCCGCGUGAGGGAUGACGGCCUUCGGGUUGUAAACCUCUUUCAGCACAGACGAAGCGCAAGUGACGGUAUGUGCAGAAGAAGGACCGGCCAACUACGUGCCAGCAGCCGCGGUAAUACGUAGGGUCCGAGCGUUGUCCGGAAUUAUUGGGCGUAAAGGGCUCGUAGGCGGUUUGUCGCGUCGGGAGUGAAAACACCGGGCUUAACUCGGUGCUUGCUUUCGAUACGGGCAGACUAGAGGCAUUCAGGGGAGAACGGAAUUCCUGGUGUAGCGGUGAAAUGCGCAGAUAUCAGGAGGAACACCGGUGGCGAAGGCGGUUCUCUGGGAAUGUCCUGACGCUGAGGAGCGAAAGUGUGGG